rnacentral:misc_RNA from 1 species
GAUGAAGAACGCAGCGAAAUGCGAUAAGUAGUGUGAAUUGCAGAAUUCAGUGAAUCAUCGAAUCUUUGAACGCACAUUGCGCCCUUUGGUAUUCCUUAGGGCAUGCCUGUUCGAGCGUCAUUUAAACCUUCAAGCCCUGCUUGGUGUUGGGUGCCUGUCCCGCCCCCGCGCGUGGACUCACCUCAAAUCCAUUGGCGGCCCCCGCAAGGCCACGAGCGCAGCAGAAACGCAAACUCGUGUGCCCGGCGGGCGGCUCCCAGAAGCUACACCCACCAUUUUGUCCUCGGAUCAGGUAGGGAUACCCGCUGAACUUAAGCAUAUCAAUAAGCGGAGGA